UGAGAAGCAUUUUUAAAAUCUUGAGCUGCACCUUGCUUCAGAGGUUGCCUACAUAUCCUCGGCUAAUGAGGAAUCAGGUCAGUGUAGUUCAGGAGUGUUUGGUAGCUGGGACUACCGGGGCUAUGAUUUCACUGUUGCUACUGCUGCUACUGUUGCUACUGCUACUAGACCCCCUUAUUAUACCUUGUGAAAAACAAAGAGGCUGACUAAGCUAUGAACUAUGGAUUACAAAAGAACCUAUCUAUGUCUUCGAUUUUGAUCUUGAUCCUUGUUUGCUUUGUUUCCUUGUAUUUAGGAUUACAAACGAACCUAUCUAUGUAUUCAAAAUUGCUCUUGAUCUUUGUUGCCUUGUGUAUCUCCCUGAGAAACUUCUUGUUUUCUUACUGUACUUCCUUCUGGGAAACUUCUUGUUGACCUGCUGCUAUGUUUCUCUAUAUCCAUAUUAAAGCUUGAUAGUUAGACUUGAAUUGUAAUCCCUUGUUCUCCAGGUGAGCGCCUGACUACCAACUUGAAAAAUUGAAAAGUAUUUCCUUGUUCUCCAGGUGGACGCCUGAUUAGAAAAACUUGAAACUUGAAAUGUAUUCCCUUGUUGACAAGGUGGGAACCUGAUUACCAAAACUUGAAACUUGAAAAGUAUUCCCUUUUUCUCCAAGUGGGCGCCUGAUUACCAAAACUUGAAACUUGAAAUGUAUUCCCUCGUUCUCUAGGUGGGCGCUUGAUUGCCAAAACUUGAAACUUGAAAUUCCCUUAUUCUCCAGGUGGACGCCUGAUUACCAAAACUUGAAACUUGAAAAGUAUUCCCUUGUACUCCAGGUGGGCGCCUGAUUACCAAAACUUGAAACUUGAAAAGUAUUCCCUUGUUCUCCAGGUGGGCGCCUGAUUACCAAGACUUGAAACUUGAAAUUAGGAUCGUAGAAUCAUCAUCGAAACUUCACCAAAGCAAAAGGCUCUUUCAUGCUUAGUCACAGCCAAUAGGUCUCACUAUCAAUUAGUAGCUAGUACACCAGGCUAGUUUCAACAUUAUCAGGGACAACUGCUCGAUUUCAAAUUUAUCAGAUGUAUAUGUUCAGAUUCGAAUACAGCUGACUUUACAAAUUCCUUAUGGACACUCAAACCAGAAAACCUUUCAAUACUAACAUUAAUUAAUCUAUAAAAGACAACAUGCUGAUUAUUUGAAUAAAAAACCAAACUAAACUUAUUCUUUAAAUAUGUGAGUACCAGAAUUAAAAUUUGAAAUAACAUGUGAAUAACAAUCAGAUCUCUUCACGAUCCAGAACAUAUGUAACAUGAUAUAAUCCUUCUACACCAAACUCCAAAUUGGAACACAGUUUACUAAUCACAAAACUUAAAGAACAGAACACUUCAGGUACCCAGAGUCUGACAUCAGGCCAAAUCCUCAAGAAUACACACUCAUCUUUGCCAUACUUGAAUAAUCCGAAACCUUUAGUGGCACAUAUAUUUUUUUAAAAAAAGAAAAAUAUAGCAUGUUGAAAGUAAAUAGGAAACACAAGAGAUAACAACCGAUUACAACUUGGAUUCAAUCCAAUUUCCAUUCAAACACAUGCUUGCAAUCAAAUUGUUGUCCACAUUUGAGAUGUUACCUGAAAAUGAAGAAGGAAAACAAAAAAAGUGAAGGAUCAACAAUCAAUAGUAGCAAAACUGAGCUUUGAUCAAUUUACAUUAAGAGUACUGGCAUUUAUAAAAGGAAAUCAAUUACUGCUAUAAUCAAGUUAUUGAAUAAAAUUUUUCUAUAAUCAAGCUAGUGAAUAAAAUUAAAUCUAGUUAAUUUUUUUUACUAAUUAUACUAAUCAAUACUAAAUCUUCAAGUUGGUGCAAAUAUGUGGCACAUACCCAGCUUGCAAACUAAAGUGUGAAGACCUUUUGCUGAGAAUUUCUGUAAGCAUAUUCACUAGCGACUUUUCUAAUGGCACAUGCAGCAAACUCAAGAUACCAACAACAACCUUUACUUUAAUGAAAUGUUGAUCAAUUUCACCCUAUUUUAUUUUAUCACGUUGAACAAGAUUAUAAGCUAUAGCAGACUUCUUGUUGCAGUACAAGGAAGGUUUUCCUGGGUCAAACAAUCUAAAUUCCUCUAUUUAACUUUUGUAGCCAAAGAAGUCCACAAACACCUGGGUCAUUGCUCUAUAUUCUGUUUCUGCGCAGCUACAUUUUGUUUAUUGCUUUUCCAAGUAACUAAGUUCCUUCCCAUGAGUGUACAUUAAAGGGUCAUUCCGGCAGCAUAGCUGGUUUUUGAUCAGCCUCAUCAACAUUCUUGGUAUUAAAUUCUUUUAGUAGACAUAUUACUUUGCAGUGGGAUUUAAGUCCUAUGAUAUCAUCAGAAGCGCCAACAGAUAUGAGGAGUGGUACAAAUGGAUAGAUGGAAACUUCAUGACCACUCAUCAGAAGUUUUUUGUGCCAAAAACUUCAAUCAUUCCUGAAAUGGCAUUCAAUGUGGGGUGGCUGGAGAGCUAAAGAUUGAGAGGUUCAUUAAUUACAAAGGUCAUUUGUUAGUUACAAAUGUUUCUAAACGUACAUAGGAAGGCCUUCUCUAUUCUGACACUAUCAGAAGGUAUAAAUGGUUAUCUAGAGACAUUCAAGAAGCUACGAUUCAGGCAGUAGGAGGCAUCAUACACAUCGAGAGAGUAACCAGCUUAAUUCAAAUUGAUCUUCUUGAAAGAAGUAUGGUUGGAAGCAUAUAUUUGAUAUUCCUACCUUGUUGGAAAUCCGUCGAUGGGCCAGCAACUCUUGGAAACAGGCACAUGGAACUAACAUAUACGAGAUGGGUAAUCAUCUCGAAAAUUUAGAUCUGGUGAGAAGCUCCGGUGAGAACCAGUACGCGAGCUGUUGGAGGGGAGAGGCACACGAAACAGUGGGUGGCUCAAGAAAAGAUAACUCUGACAAGGCACAUGGGUUCUUAAAAAGUGGCAGAGGCACCGAGUAACUCUAAUUUAGAGACCCCACGUGAGACAGGGUUAUCAGCUCCUAUUUCUAAUGGGUGUGAAGUUUUAAAAAUAAAAUCUUUGAAGCCCAGAUAUUUUAGCCCAAAGUAUUCUAAAAAUAGGAUUUUUAUCUAUGAUUAAUAUCUUAUUUAUUUUAAUAAAAUUAUAUUUAUACCUAUAAGCCAUUGUAACACCCCGCAAAUUCGACUUAGGUAUGAAUGAGUUAAAGGAGUAGUAUGGUUAAUUUUUGGAGUGAAGUCCCAUCAGGAUGAUUAUGGGUAAAAUAAUUGUUUUAAAAUCGAGAUGAAAAGUGGGUGCAUAAGAUUUGGCAAAAUCGACUAAGUUUGCAGAAAAGGUCAAUAUGUGUUUUUUUCAAGUUUUUCUAUUCCAUAAAACAUUCAUAAUUGUAAAAAAAAGGUUCUCUAUUGACUGGUAUCUUUAUUUCACAUUAUUUUUUAUUCAUAAAAUCUAUACCUAUAGAAUUUGCUAAUCGGCUGUUCUGUAGAAAGGAAAUUAGUUGAACUUAAUAAAAAUAAAAAAUAAAAUAAAGAAUCCAAUGUAGAAAGGAAAUUAGUUGAACUUAAUAAAAUAAAAAAUAAAAUAAAGAAUCGGCCUGUCUUCCAGCAGGGUUUAAUAUAUGUGUAAGGAAUUUAAGAAAACUCAAAGAAUAAAAGUUAUAGGCCUUUGAGAUAUAUUUCCAACGAUAUAUUAUGGAGCCCAAACAGAUAUCUGUGCAAAAUGUUAUGUGCAUUUUAUAGAACAAUAUGCAGUAUGCACGCCCCUAGCGCGACCGCACUUCUUUUGAGGUAGUGUUACUAUCGUUUUGCGCGGUCAGUAGCGCAGUCAGGUCACCAGGUGUGCGGUCGCGCUCGUGGGGGGGUUGUUUUAAAGCCAUAUUUCGUCCCCCCACAUCCCCAAAAUAUAAAAAGUUUCUCUAGAAAGGGGAACUCUAAAAACCUAACUCCUUAAGGGUCCUUCCACCGCCCAAGGUAAGUUCUAAUGGUGAUUCUAAGUUAAUUUUAAUUUCACAACAUCUUAUUAACAUGGUUAAACCCUCCACAUCAUUAGAUAUUCGAUCAGGGCAUCAUUGUUUGUCACACCUCCUUUUUUACACACCUCGAAAGGUAUAUAAAUGAAGUUUUUCCAAUUUAAGUGACAUUAUUCGAAAUGAGAUUAUUUAUUUGAUUUUUGUUCAGAGUCACCACUGGGUAUAGGUUUGUUUUCUGGUGUCCCAAGUCGACGUUUAAUUUUAAAUCCCAAAUCAAGGAGAAUUCGACUUUCCUUGUGAAGUCUGCGAACCAGAAAUUCCAGAUAAGGAAUUUUGUUAACCCGAAUGAAGGUGUUAGGCACCUUCGGAUUCCGUGGUUCUAGCACGGUGGCUUAAACUAUUACAAUUGGCCUAUUAUUUGAUUUUAAUACACCUUUAGCCAAUGGUAUAAUUUUAAACUAUUAGACCGCUUUUAAUUAAUUUUAAAUCAACAUUAUCUAAAAUACGUCCUUGAUCCAUGCCACAUGAAAUGCAUCCACGGUCUACACAUAUUUUAUUUAACGUUUUGAGAUUUAGAGUUGGGUCACAUGAAAUGCACACCCGAGUUUAGGAAGGUAAUAUUAUUAAAAUAAUAUACCUAAAGCAACUAGACAUUUGUAACUUUGCAAGGGACAUGAAAAUUCGCUAAAUGGCACGCCUCGAUUCUAAGGAUUCGACACAUUAAUCAAAUGAGGACCAUGUAAUUAUUCAUUUUGUUUGGUACGACGCGCCUCAAUUUAUUCUAACCAAAGUAUUUUUAAACUAACUCAUGAAGACCAUAAACUGUUAUUGUUUUUGAAUGGGACACCUCGAUUAAUCAAGGCCCAACACAUUAAUUAAAAAAGCCUAUGGAAUUAUAAAGACCUUGGGCUCAUAGUUCAACACCAAUUAAUUAACUGAAAUGAACUAAUUGCAUAAGGAAAACUAACUGAUGAGAUAAUAAAUUAAUAAGAACGCCUUAGUUUGAUUGACUCUCACCUGGGCUUGCGUUAGGCCCAACUCAUACGCCCCACAUUAUUCAAGUCACUUAACUAAUGCUAGCUACUAAUGCUACCAUGGAUUGAGAUCGACUUUAAAAAACUUUGAUCUUAAAUUUCACAUACCGAUUAAUCAUCCAGCCUUGAUGAUCUUAAAAUUAUGCGUACAAUUGAACUAACUUGGUUGCUGAAAGAGCCAACAAUCAACGAGUGAGCCACUAGGCUCAAAGGACAAGCCGAAAAGCCCAACAAUAGCCACUUUUAAUUGAAGAUCGUCUCAAAUCUCCACACUCAAUGAGCCCAAGUCAGGCAGGACCAGGAAUGAGGAUCGUAGACUCAUCAUCGAAACUUCACCAAAGCAAAAGGCUCUUUCAUGCUUAGUCACAGCCAAUAGGUCUCACUAUCAAUUAGUAGCUAGUACACCAGGCUAGUUUCAACAUUAUCAGGGACAACUGCUCGAUUUCAAAUUUAUCAGAUGUAUAUGUUCAGAUUCGAAUACAGCUGACUUUACAAAUUCCUUAUGGACACUCAAACCAGAAAACCUUUCAAUACUAACAUUAAUUAAUCUAUAAAAGACAACAUGCUGAUUAUUUGGAUAAAAAACCAAACUAAACUUAUUCUUUAAAUAUGUGAGUACCAGAAUUAAAAUUUGAAAUAACAUGUGAAUAACAAUCAGAUCUCUUCACGAUCCAGAACAUAUGUAACAUGAUAUAAUCCUUCUACACCAAACUCCAAAUUGGAACACAGUUUACUAAUCAUAAAACUUAAAGAACAGAACACUUCAGGCACCCAGAGUCUGACAUCAGGCCAAAUCCUCAAGAAUACACACUCAUCUUUGCCAUACUUGAAUAAUCCGAAACCUUUAGUGGCACAUAUAUUUUUUUAAAAAAAGAAAAAUAUAGCAUGUUGAAAGUAAAUAGGAAACACAAGAGAUAACAACCGAUUACAACUUGGAUUCAAUCCAAUUUCCAUUCAAACACAUGCUUGCAAUCAAAUUGUUGUCCACAUUUGAGAUGUUACCUGAAAAUGAAGAAGGAAAACAAAAAAAGUGAAGGAUCAACAAUCAAUAGUAGCAAAACUGAGCUUUGAUCAAUAAUGGAACAAUAUUUGAACCAAAUAUUUCAAACCAAACUUGCAAAGACCCAUAACUCAAACCAUUUUAGCCCCCCCAAAUUAAACCAGAACUUAUUUCAGAAUUUGAAAGCUUCAGAAAUUACCAAAAGAAAAUCAAUGGAAUAGUAUCUUUGUCCAAUUUUUAGCAGUUUUGAUUUUUCUGAAUAUUUUAUAUUUCUAAAAUCUGAAUUGAGCUUCCUUUAGCAAUGCCUUUAUAGGCAAGCUAUUAGGGCAGCAGAAAUAGUUCAGUUAUCCCUUUAGACCUUUCACAAUUUUUAUUUUUACUGCUUGGUCCCUUAAUUACUGGCUUGUUGGCCAAGUAAGCUUAUUUUUCAGCUUCUAUGAAGCUUCCUAAGGCAGUUAUUAAAAGAUUCCCUAAGUUAACUACCCAAAUUAUCCUUAAAACCUCUGAAAAUUACCGCAGCAUAGCAAAUGGGUCAAGUUGACCUAGAUGGCCCAAUUUGAUAUGGGUUUGCUACCCAAUUUGAAUUUCUUUUGGGCUCUGAUUUUGAUUUGAAUUCAUUCUUGGCCAGAUGACCAUUUUUAGAAGACUAACUAAAUAUUUAUUAAAAGACCAAAAUAGAACUGUUGAAAUCAAAAUAAAGGAAAAUAAACUGAUUAAAGAAAAAUGUGCAACACUAAUCAUGCAUGAACAAAUAAAUAUGGAAACUAAAACACAUAAACAUUGAAACAAAACACUUUUGAAUUCAAAAUGAUUUUUCUAAAAAUUAAACAAACUAAAACAAAACUAAGGGGCACAACUAGCCUGAACUAAAAGGAACACAUGUAGAAAGGUCUUUGAGAAACCAAAAAGAAGAAGAAGAAUUAUAAAAGAAAAAUAAGAAAAGAAGACGAAGAAAGGACUAUGAGAAUACCUGUCCAAAAUAGGUAGGUAAGAACCUUGGAAUCGAUCCUUUGAAUAGUCCUAUUAUGGGCUGAAUUAGACCUUAAUCGCAUGUUCUCAAUGAAAAUACACAAAUAAAGUCCAAUUCAAACCCACAACUUUGUCCAACUAAUUGACGUGCACAUUUAGGAUUUUAGGGUUCUGCUUCAAAUCAAAUAUUUGAGGAUCUCAGGGGUGAUUUUGGGAAAGUUUGUCAUGGAAUAAGGUAGAGAAGGUGAUAGGGUGUAAAUUUGGUGACAGUUGGUGGCGGCGCCGCCGCCGGAAAAAAUUGGAUUUUAAAGGCGGCUGGCUAGGGUCCCGAUUUUUUAUCAGAUAUUUAAGGAAUCUUGGGUAUAUUUGAGGGAAGGUGACCGGAGAUUUGAGAAAAAAAUUAGGAUUUGAAAGGCGGCUGGCUAGGGUUUCGAUUUUUUAUCAGAUAUUUAAGGAAUCCUUGGUAGAUUUGAGGGAAGGUGACCGGAGAUUUGAGAUGAGGGGGUUGAGGAGAGGCAGUGGUGUAAUUUUUCGCCGUGAUUGGCCGCCAACCACCGCCGUGGGCGAUUUCUGGCGGGAGGCGGACGGUGGCCCAAGGGUGGCGUUAUGCUCGGGCUUCUGAGGGUGUGUGAGAGAUGGUUUGGGGGUAAAUGGGGGGGGGGGGGUUCCAACAUAUUUAUAUUAAAAGAGCCAUUAGUUCUCGUUCGUUAGAUGAAGGAAAAUCAACGAUCCCAAUCGCCUUUAAACAAAAUGGGGUCGUUUGGUUAUAUGGGGGAUGCUGGAUUGGGUUUUGACGGGUUUGUGCUGGGUUUGGAUGGAUUUUGGAUGGGUUUUUAAUUGGGUUGGCCCAAAAUCCAUGCCUUCUUUUAUUAAGAAAAACCUUUUCUCUUUUUUUAAUCAUUUUACAAUUUAUUUAUUUAUUUCCAAAUUAAAAAUAAAACUUGAGUUGAUUCUAAAACUAAAUUAAUAAACUAAUUGCUUCUCAAAUUUAAUUAAGUCCUAAAUAAAAGGGAAACUAUAACAACAUCUAAAAUUAAAGAGUUAAAAAUUCAAAAAUGAACUAUUUUGUGAUAUUUAUAAUAUUAAUGAACUAAUUAUCCUAAAAAUAUAAAAAAUGUGUCAUACAUGCAAAUGCACCAUUUUUUGUGUUUUUUAUGAAUUAAACAAAAUUAGACAUGCAUACAAAAUGCAAACAAAGAAUAAAAUUAUGCUGUAAUUCCUUAAAAACUAAUUAAUUAAAAGAAAAACCCUGAUUUUGGGAAUUCCGUAGGAGUAAUUCAUGAGAUGCAAAAAUCACGUGCUCAAAUUGUUGAGAGAAAUAAGCCUAGAACUCAUACUCAAAGGGUUUGAACUUCAAAAAGAUAAUGUCUUCACCCUUUAAUUGAUUCUAGUAUUGGUUUACUGAUUAUAAACCCUAGUUCAUGACAUAUGAAUUGAUGGGUUUCAUAGAAAACUACGGACGAUUAUAGGUUUAGGGUGUUGAUUGUUGGUUAAGGGUGUUGUUUACCUUAUGGGUGAUAAAGAAUAACGUUGAUUAUAACCAUUUGAGACUUUAGAAUUUAUUUAGGAGGAAGGGAAUGGGUUAUUAGGUGUAGAGACACCAUUAAUAAGUACUAUGAAGCUUUAUAUCACCAAAUGUUUGAGAAAAUGAUUAUGUGACUAAAACAUGAGAAUUAUUGCUAAUAUGGUAUUAAUAAGGACUAUGAAGCUUUAUAUCACCAAAUGUUUGAGAAAAUGUUUAUGUGACUAAAACAUGAGAAUUAUUGCUAAUAUGGAAUCCCUUUGACUUGUAUUGAUAUAGAUUAAAGUUGAAAGGGUUGGCGAAUGUUGUAUUAAGCUCAAUAGAAGGAAGUAAAGGUAUAUGAGUCUAACUCUCUAUGUUUGGGAAUAUUAAUGAUUCUCCCUAUACUACAUUUCUUUUACGAUGUAUCGAUUGCCUCAUAAAUAUAGUUAAGCCUAGUUCAUUGAAUAGUUGUUGAACUUCUAUUCUCUAGCUUCAUUACUCGUUCAUGACUUUCAUUCUGAAUGUUGUGAGCUCAGUUCAUAUUCAAUGUAGACUUGGGUUUGAUAUUCAUAAGUCUUAGUAUAGCUUACUCAACAUGUCAUAAACAAUUGAAGUUUCAGUGUUCAUAAUCAGUUCAAGAAUACAUGUAUAUUCUAGUCCUGCUUAGUAUUCCAGUAAUAUCUAACUCAGCAUAGAAGUCUUAGUAAAGCUUACUCGGCAUGUCAUAAAUAGUUUAAGUCUCAGUGUUCAUAAUCAGUUCAAGAAUACAUAUAUCAUUCUAGUCCUAUUUAAUAUUCCAUUAGUAUGUAACUCAGUAUGAUUUAGUAUUCCAAUAUUAUGUAACUUAGUGUGAUCCAAUAUUCCAGUAUCAUGUAACUCAGCGUGUGAUUCUACAUUUUAUUAUUAUGUAUUUCAGUAUGAUUCUAAAUUCCUAAUUUUAAUCCCUGAAUGUCGAACACCAGCAUUUGGGUCCGAGGCCGUACUUAUUGCUUUAUGCAUCUUUGGGCCUGAGGCUGCAUCUUAUGCUUUAUGCAUCUUUGGCCCCGAGGCUGCAGUUUAUGCUUUAUGCAUCAUUGGGCCUGAGGCCGCAGUUAUGUGUGUGUGUGUAUACAUAUAUAUAUAUAUAUAUAGUAUAUAUACAUUGGUGUCUAGCAUGACCAUGAGUUCCUAUUAUGCGAAUAGUUUGGAUUUAGUUAUACCUUCCAUGCUUGAUUGAUGAUUUCUAUAUGUUGUAAAGAGUUUGUGGAAAAGGAUUGUGAUCUUUUAACUUCGUGGAGUGUUGGCUCGAGUGAAACUCAAAUAGGUAUAUGAAUAUAUAUAUAUAUUUAUAUUGGGUCUAAGGCCGCAGUUUAAUAUUCAGAUAAAAAGGUUGUUCAUUAUUCAGAAAAGCGAUUAUUCAUAUCCUUACUUCCUUUGUUUAGUUCAGUUAUCAGUUAUUAGUUCACAUAUCAGUUACCACUUCAAUUUCAGUUUCAAUAGUUAUUAUUUAAGUUAUCAGCUUAGUUUUAGUUUCAGCAUUUAUAAUUCUUUCUUUUAGUUGCUUUACAUACCAUUGCAAUUCAAAUGUACUGAUGUGAUGACCCAUAUGGGUCAUCACUUGUUUUCUUACCAUUCUGUACCUCUGAGUCCUUGAAAACCCCAUUCAGUGUUACCUAGAUUUGCAUGUGCAAUCCGAGCGCAUAGCCGAAAAGCUCAAGUAUGAAUUCUGUGAGAAAAAUGCUAAUUUUUUAUAUUAAAUUGAAUAAAGUUGAUUUCGGUCAAUAUUUUGGGCAAACAUAUCCGGACUCGUGAUUUAACGGUCCCGGAGGGUCUGCAGCAUAAUAUGGAACUUAGGUGUAUGCCGAAACAGAAUUCCGAGGUCCCAAGCCCGAGAAAUGAAUUUUUGUGUGAAAUUAUUUUCUAAAAAUGAUUAAGGAACUUGGAAAGGAAAUUUGAUCGAAAGAUUAUGGUAUUGAUUCCGUAUUUUGGUUCCGGUGUCCGGUACAGGUCUUAUAUGUGGUUUAAGCACUUUCUGUAAAGUUUGGUUGAAAACAGGCGUUGUUUGACGUGUUUCGGACUUAAAAUGAGAAUUUGAUAUUUUCUGGAAACUUGGAAGAUAUUAUGAAUUUUGAGGCUUAAUUUGAUGUAUAUGAUGUUAGUUUGGCAAUUUGAUCGCACGGACAAGCCCGUAGGAUAUUUUCGAGGUUGUGUGUAUGUUUUGUUUGGAGCCUCGAAGGCUCGGGCGAGUUUUGGAUAGGAGUCGGAUUUAAUUUAUGCAUUUUUGGAAAAUCAGGUAUCACUGAUCUGUUGGCUUCACAUUUUCAAAGCCAACAUUCGCAAAUGUGAAGGUCCAGCUCUGGCAGAUGCGAAGGUUAGUUGACAAAUGCGAAACUAGCCCAGACCCGUCAAUGUUCGCAAAUGCGAAGCAAUUACCCGCAAAUGCAAAGGUCAAGGGUUCGCAAAUGCAGGGCCAUGUUCGCAAAUGCGAAGGUUCCCUGAUAGGCAUGACUUCGCAAAUGCGAAAAUAAAUGUCGCAUUUUCCACGCCUGCAGUUGCGAACCAAUUUUUGCAAAUCCCAUAUCAGCAGCCCAACAAUUUUUAUACUUAAUCAGUUUUCCACCUUAUUUCGCCAUUCUUUUAAGACCCAAACCCUAUAGGCGGUUUUUCAAGGACAAAACUUCUUCCAAAUUAGUGUUAAGUCGAUUUUUUCUAAAUUCCUUCAAUCAUUUACAUCAUCUAACAUGUUUUCUACUUCAAUUCAAUGAUUUUCAUGGGUAAAAUUGGGGGUUUUGGGUAGAAUCUAGGUUUUUCAAAAAAUUGGGGGUUUGGACCUCAUUUUGAGGUCCAAUUUCAAAACAAAUCAUAGACAUGGAUUCGUGGGGGAAUGGGUGACUCGGUUUUGGUUUUAACUUUGAGUUUUGACCACGCGGGCCCGGGGGCAUUUUUGGGUUAAAACUUUGAGAAAUUCAUUUUUUAUGCAUUCAAAUUGAUUCAUUUAGAAAUUGUUGAUGUAUUUAAGUAAUUUGUGACUAGAUUAGAGCCAUUUUGUGGUGGAACCGAGGGGUAAAUCCAUAGUUGAGGUUUGAGCUUAAUUCCAGCCAUCGAGGUAAGUGUUUGGUUUAACCCUAGCUUGAGGGAAUAGGAGUGAGUCUUAUAUGUUACUUGCUAAUUGCCGAGUACGAUGUAUAGUCAUGGUGACGAGUAUAUAUACAUUGGUGUCUAGCAUGACCAUGAGUUCCUAUUAUGCGAAUAGUUUGGAUUUAGUUAUACCUUCCAUGCUUGAUUGAUGAUUUCUAUAUGUUGUAAAGAGUUUGUGGAAAAGGAUUGUGAUCUUUUAACUUCGUGGAGUGUUGGCUCGAGUGAAACUCAAAUAGGUAUAUGAGAAAAGUAAAUCUUUGGAGCAUUGGCUUAAGUAAUAAUGUGAACUAUGAGAUGAAAGUGGAAGUAAGAGAAAGAGUUAAUGAUAUUUCCCCUUGUGGGGCAUUGUUGAUUAUUGAAUAUUUUUCUUUGCCGGGAUUUUCAUUAUUAUUUAUUUAUUUCCUUGCCCUUGUUUGGGAUUGUUGAUUGGGUGAGGAAGAGUGUUAAAGCACGAAGGGUGAUGCCGUGCAUUGUUUGACAUUAUGAGGAAAGAGUGUAAAGCACGAAGGGUGAUGCCGUGCCGUAGAAUGUACCAUUCCAUACUGAUAUUCAUUGAUUACAUAUUAUGAGGAAAGAGUGUAAAGCACGAAGGGUGGUGCCGUGCCGUACAAUAUACCAUUCCGUAUUGAUAUUUAUUGAUUAUAUAUUGUAAGGAGAGAGAGUAAAAGCACGGUUCCAUACUGAUAUUCAUUGAUUACAUAUUGUGAGGAAAGAGUGUAAAGCACGAAGGGUGGUGCCGUGCCGUACAAUAUACCAUUCCGUAUUGAUAUUUAUUGAUUAUAUAUUGUAAGGAGAGAGAGUAAAAGCACGAAGGGUGAUGUCGUGCACAUGAUUUACUUAUACGAUUGAUUUGGUCAGGAUGAGAGUAAAAGCACGAAGGGUGAUGCUGCGCACUUGGUGAUCUUUGUUCCUUAUUGUUGUAUGAGUUAUGUUUUCCUUUAUAACGGUCAAAUUUUUACUUGAAACUGUUAUCUCCCCAUGGCAUGCUUCCCCUCCGGUAUUGUUUACUUGCCUAGUAUUUCGAUUCCGCUGUAUAUUUAUAAUUGCAAAGGUUCAUGUGGUAGUCCAGUCUAGCCUCCUACUACAUCGCCGGGGUUAGGCUAGACACUUACCAGCACAUGGGGUCGGUUGUGCUGAUAUUACACUCUAUGCUAAUUUUGCACAGAUCCAGGUUUCGAGCAGCAGCAACAGUUGUAGCGUGGAAGCAGACUUUCAGCCUAGUGAGACUCGAGGUAGCCUUGCAGCCGUCCGCAGGCCCAGCUUCUCCUCUAUUCUUACUUUAGACUGUCAUCUCCUUGUAUUCGAGAUAAAUAGAUUUAUGUUUCUUUCAAACCUUAUAUUUAGUAUUCUUAUAUGCUCGUGAGUAUGUGACUCCAGUUCUUGGUUAGAGAUUAUGUUGAAAAUUUCAUAUUUUUAUUCAGCAAAUUAAAUUUAAGACUUCCGCUUAUGAUUUUAAUCCCGUUGAUUCUAUUUUAGUGCUAUUAAAUUACAAAGAGGAACAUGUGUUUAUUUAAAAGUAAUUAAGUUUGGCUUGCCUAGCUUCUAUUAGUAGGCGCCAUCACGAUCCCCGAGGGUGGAAAAUCCGGGUCGUGACAAGUUGGUAUCAGAGCACUAGGUUGCAUCGGUCUCAUAACUCACGGACAAACUUUGUAGAGUCUGACGGAUCCGUAUAUAGACUUCUGUAUUUAUCCCCAGAGGCUACUGAGUUAGGAAAAAUUUCAAAUUUUCUCUCUCUUGUCGUGCGGUUCUGUUUCUCAAAUACUGAUUGUCUUUCUACUCUAUUCUUCGGAAAUGGAAAUAACACGCGCUUCCUCAUCUUCUGAUCAGCAGCCCGAGCCCUAGCAGCUCCCACUAGGGGCAGAUGUCGAGGCCGUGAUAGAGCCCGAGCUCAGCCCCGAGCAACAGUACCAGCGGUGGAGCCGAGAUUCAUAUGAUAUGGGCCAACUUUCUAGGACUUUCCAGUCAGCUCUCCAGGCUUCUCAGGGUGCCCCCGGUGGCCGUGGUUCUCAAGUGCAUUAUUCUGAUCAGCAGCCAUUCAGUGCAGUGCCAGCUCCCAUCAGUGCACCGCCACUUUAGAGCUUCCGUGGUAGUCAUUCAGGUUGAGAGGGUCAGUACCAGUCCCCUUAGCAGCCGAGGUCUUGCUACACAUGUGGAGAUCCUGGUCACGUUGCUAGAUUUUCCCACGAGCACUAGGUAAUUCGCAGCAGCAGGGUUCUCGCGCCAUGGUACAGGCCCUAGGUGUUCCACAGCCCGCCCCGCCAGCUAGAGGUGGAGGUAGAGGUCACAGAGGUGAAGCUCAGGCCGCCAGGGGUGGAGGCCAGCCAACAGUCGCCCGUCCUAGAGAGGUGGCUCAGGGAUGGGGGGCCCAACCCUGGUGUUAUGCUUUUCUAUCUAGACCAGAGGAUGAGUCUUCAAAUGCAGUCAUUAUAGGUACUAUUCUGGUUGGUGAUAGAGAUGCUUCAGUGCUAUUUGAACCAGGGUCUACGUAUUCGUAUGUGUCAUCUUAUUUUGCACCGUACCUGGUUAUGCCUAGUGAUGCAUUGAGUAUCCCUAUUUAUGUGUCUACAUCGUAGGGAGAUUCUAUUGUGGUCGAAAAAGUUCAUCGUUCCUACACAUAAGUGCAUAAUGUAGCAUCAACACAAUAGACCCCAUGUAAACUGGUGGGUGAUUCUAUAGUGGUAGACCGAGUUCAUCGUUCCUGCUGUAGCACCUCCUCUUUACACUAAUCCCCACGAAGGGCGUAGAAAUAGAGUUUUUCCAAUUAAAAGACAAUCGAAAUGGGAUUUAUUUACUUAGAGAUUUCAGAGUUGCCACUUGGGAUGAUUAAUGGUGUCCCAAGUCACCGAUUUAAGUUCCGAAUCGAGGAAAGUAAGACUCGGUUAUACAGUCUGCGAGAUAGAAAUCCGGGUAAGGAAUUUUGUUAACCCGAGAGAAGGUGUUAGGCAUUCCCGAGUUCCGUGGUUAUACAGUCUGCGAGAUAGAAAUCCGGGUAAGGAAUUCUGUUAACCCGGGAGAAGGUGUUAUGCAUUCCCGAGUUUCGUGGUUCUAGCAUGGGUCGCUCAACAGUUAUAUUCGGCUAAAUUAUCUGAUUUUAAUACAAUUUUUUGUAUCUAUGUGCAAAUUUUAACUUUUAACCGCUUUUAUUUAAUCUUAAGAAGAUUGCAACGUUGAUAAAAUGUGUCUCGAACCACGUCACACAAAUGCACCCGUAGUCUUUGACAUAUUUCAACAUCGUUGGGAUUUGGAUUUGGGUCACAUAAAUGCGCAACCGAAUUUAGGAAAGUAAAUUGUUUAACUAGCGUGCUUAAGGCAAUCUCGUACUUACAAAUCUGCGAGGGCCAUGAAAAUUUGCUAAGUGGUGCACCUCGGAUUCUAAAGGUUCGAAUUUGGUCGAGCAAUACAAUUAUUCAAUUUUAUUUGGCAUUGACACACAUUGAUUUCAAAUUAAAAGGACUAAUUUAACUAUAAUUGGAGGGCCAUAAUCGUUUGUGUUACUAAUACGACUUAACUCAAUGAAUUAAAUGGCGCACUUAAUUUGAAGCAAACUAUAAGGAUCAAGUUCAUUUGAGAUAACUAAAGGUUCCUGCUUAAGGAGAACUUGCUCCUUCUUAAACUGGCCCAGUCUCAUUUUUAAAUUUUUCUUCAAGGUUUGGGCCUAACCUAGUUCUUGGCCCAAGUGCUAUGCGACAAACCCCUGUACUAAAGCGAGAGGGAAACUGGGCUCAGAACAUGAGCCCAAAAUAGGCUGAAGAAUGCACAACUCUAAAUAUCAGUGAACAAGAAUUAAAAAGGCGACAUUACCCCUAAUUUGACAGUUUAUGGAUCAGAAGUAUUGUCAAGUACUUAUUAAUACAAUAUUCUCAAAACUAAAAUACUUACUAGCACAAUAAUACAAUCUUAGUGAUGGACUUGUAGAACUCUACACUCAAAAUUUAAAAACCUUUCAACAAUCCUCAAAUAAGCAUUAAAUAGAACAUAACCACAAAUUUUUACAUGAACAGACCUUAUUUGAAGUAUAAUAGGUCUACUAUUGAUCCAUACUUCAAAACAUGAUGUUGAUGAAUACUAUAGCAAUGAACCGAGGACAUCAGACUUCUCUUAAUGAACAAAAAUCAUUCGAAACAUGCAUAAAUCAAGGAGAUAAACUGAAAGUACUACAUAUGAAUUUGUACAUCUACUACUAUUAAAUACAAAUCAUUAACUAAAUUAAACAGAGGUUAUAAUAGAAAGUCAUAAGCAAGGUGGAAUAAUUCUUCAUAUUGCAAUGCAUUCCUCAAACUCUUACUUCAUAAUCGGCAAGGUUACAUAGUUGUGUACCUGGAAAAUGAGAAACAAAGGAGAUCUAAGUGGCAGCAGGCUUAGAAAUAGCAGAACAUACCAGAAAAAUCCAAACGAGAACCAAAUGAAAUUUGAAACAACUCCAAACCAACCAGUCCAAAAGCAACACAACUGACUCUAAUACCAAAUUUCAAACAAUCUAUACUCAGCUCAUUUUAACCCAGUAAAAUCAAGCAACUCUCUCAGAAGAUCAAAUUUUCAAAUUAGAUUUCAAACAACCUAUACUCAGCUCAUUUUAAUCCAGUAAAAUUAGGCAACUCUCUCGGAAGCUCAAAUUUUCAAAACCAGUUGUCAAACUUUAGAAAUUAAACCUAUGGUUGAACUAGCCUCUCAAAUUGAACCUAAAAGGUAUUUAGGACUGGAAAACAUCAGAAUUCAACAACGAGGUCAAUGAAACAGCAGUCCCUUUGCCAUCUGGAGCUUUUGGGGUAUUUUAGCUCUUCUUUUCUCUAUGAUCCUCAAAGGAACAGUAUUUUUACUAGAGUUUUUGAGCUAUAUAUAUUUUUUGAGUUUUCAGAAUUCCCCCCUUUUUAAAAGUCUCUCUUAAAGCCUUCUCAGAACUCCAUCGCUCAAAAACAUGGCUUCUAAGGCAAGAAAGGCUGCCUUUAUACGCAAGCAAACUAAGGGAACCCUUAAAUUUUACUUUCCGAAAUUACUAAAAAUCGUAUAUUAAUUAUGAAUGUUACAUUCGAAUGCUAAUAAUCCUCUAUAAUUAUUAUCACGACCAAUUAAAACUAAAUUAAAAGCAAAAUCACCUAAAAUAAAAAGAGCACAUUAAGCUAUAUUUUUUGAUUUUUUCUUUUUUAUAAAAUAACUACAUUAUUGAAUAAUUCUAUAUAUUUGAAAUCAACUCCUAAAUGCACAUGCAACAUAUUUUUUUAUUUUUGAUGAAUGUGUGUUUAAUUAAAAUGCAUGCAAAAUGCAAACAAUUAGCAAAAACGUCAGGAAAAUUCACAAAUUUUCAAACAACUAAAAGAAAUGAUUUUUUUUGAAUUUAUAGGAAUGAUUCAUGUAGGCAAAAAUCACAUUCUCACAUCUGCCCCUCUUUGCCGGAAAACAUGAAGAGUUUUCGUGCAAAGACAAAUGAGCAAAUACGAGCGAUUCUUGCCCAUUUGAAUAAUCCGUGAGAGGCAUUUUUAAUAUCUUGAGCCGCACCUUGUUACAGAGGUUGCCUACAUAUCCUCGGCUAAAGAGGAAUCAGGUCAGUGUAGUUCAGGAGUGUUUGGUAGCUGGGACUACCGAAGCCGUGCUUGCGCUGCUGAUGCUGCUACUGCUACUGCUUGCUAGACCUCCUUAUUACCCUAUGUAAAAAUAAAAGAAGCUAGACUAAGCUAUGGACUAUGGAUUACAAACGAACCUAUCUAUGUAUUCAAAAUUGCUCUUGAUCUUUGUUGCCUUGUGUAUCUCCCUGAGAAACUUCUUGUUUUCUUACUGUACUUCCUUCUGGGAAACUUCUUG
rnacentral:lncRNA from 1 species